AUCUGUGAAGACGAGAUGUGAUUACAUGCAAUAGUUGCUCUAAUGAUGGUUCUCCUAGGCUGAAAGGAGUGAACGAUCACCAGCCCUGUCUGAAAGGGGACAGAUGGAAAUGGAAGUCCCCUCCCCAAGCAGUGAGUUAGGCAGCGAGGCUUCAACAGAAGCGGGAUGGGGGCUUCUGCAGCAAACUCCCAGCAAAUUAGUCCUGUCCUCCCGCCCUCCAAUAUGGUCAUGAUUAUUUAAAAGCAGGGGAAUACCAACCGUUACAUCUGUACAAACACGCCACAGGAAACCAAAUUGUAAAGACAUCAGCAAUCAAGACCAGACUCUUGGUUUGUUUGUUCGGAUAUCAACAUCCACUAAAGACAGCCCCGAUCACAGCCGUAAUUGGCACGGCAGUAAAUGUUCCUGGGGCGAUGUGGAAGGUGAAUAGGGCAAGGUGGGCAGAGAGCAAACCUGGUCUCUCUGGGAUCCCCCACUGUUUCAAGAACAACUUGUGAACUGUUGUGGAGCAGGGCAUAACUAAAUUAGUCUGGGGAAGAGAAGGGUCACACAAACAUGUCCCGGUCAGCAUCAUUCACUCUGGCAUUUUGCUUGACAUUCAUUCUGAAGUUCAAGCCAGGAAGCUGCCACAGACACCAUUCAGCUACAAGCUCUUCUCUCUCCUCCUGAAAACAUCAAGUAACCAGAAUAUUACCCACAACCAGAAGUGUGCCUGCUGUUCCUUGUGAGUCUUGCAAAGUGUAAGGCAUACUUUUCCCACCAACAAUGAUAAAAGGUGAGCUCACUGUUCAUAAAAGUACAAGAUUGCCAGGCUUGUUGGCUGAAGCAAUCCGCCACCACGGGUGAGACGUUUACCCCCUGGGCUCUAGGUCCUCCACGUAUAAGGCAGAGCUGCCAGCUGGACCUGUUCACAGGAAAUAGGAGGACCAAGAUUUAUAUACUUAAAGCAGCAUUUUGUUGCUUUACAUGACUAACUCAACAAAGGUCAAGCAGUGAGAAGCAAAGAAUGGAGGAGCAAGUACAGAGGCAACACAGAGAAGUGAACCCAAUUAAUUUUUCCCUUGGAAAUACUAGAGAGAGGAUUGCUUUCCUUGGAGAACACGCAUUUGUAACGGAGAUGUUGCCAAAAUUACUGGGAUGACUAAAAUGUGGAGUGCAACUACUUCAUCUUUUAUACAGCUCUGUGUCCACAAAGGGUAAAGCCUUUAGAAAGCAAUAAGCCAGCAGAACGUCACAGUUAUUAAUCUGGGGUAUUUUAUCUCUUUUCUCUGUGUAUAUCUAUUAGCUGUGCAUGUGACUCUUUAAACAAAACCUUUUCCUAUGUCCUCUUCUUCUUACGUCCCCCUCCUUUGUUCUUUUAUUGGUUUAAGCUGUAACUUACCGGGUCAAGAAAAUCAUUCCCAUUUUUAUUACAAGUCUCUAUAAAUAAUAAGUCAUACAUAUGUUAGGAGUAAGAACUAGAAGUAAUUAUUUGCCAAGGUCUGUCUUUCCUAGCAAAGAAAGAGCAGCCAUCAUUUGUGUGGAUUUUUUUAAUAAAGUGGGUAUCGUCAUGUGCACUGGGCAGAGAAAGGCCUCAUCAGAAAGAAUACAAAUGGGAAGGAAUCUGUUGGCACCUUGGCUUCAGUGAAGCCAUGUUUCAGAGGGCUUUUCACCAGUCAUUAGUGGGGUGGGGGGAGAGGGGCUCCAAGUCACAUUCAUUCUCAAAUCACUGAUGAUCCCUUACCACUCGCCUUGAUGUUAGGCUUUUUUAUUCUGUUUUAUAGUAGGAUAUGGGAUUUCUUUAUAAUUCAUUCCAUAAUUCUACCUGCACUCCCCUUGUAAGGUGGUAGUUGAGAAAAAUACCUCUUCACUGCACCCCUAAAAGAGCAAUCCAACUCAGAUUAAAACCUGGAUUUUCUUUCCCUUUCCCUGCAUACACCAGUACAUCUCAUCGGGGAGACCUGGGUACCAACAAGCACUCAGAUGACGACUGCCCCCGGGGGAAGCGUGCAUCGGUCAGUGCAGGCUCUCCCCAGUGCAGCCUGCUCUCCUCACUGGUAUCCCUUUUGCUUCUUUCCCAACAAGGUGGAAAAGGAACCACCUAGUUUUAUGCACUACCUCAGUCUUCAAGGUCUCAAUCAGCACUCUUCCUUUCCUGAGUCAGCACCUAUUUAAACCAGAUACUUUAAUGAGGUUUGCCAUUUAUGCUGUGAGCCUUCCUCUUUAUUCUGCCUAUUGGCCACCCCGGGGGGAUGAGGACUAAUAGUAACUGCAAAGUUAUGUCAAAGUAGAUCUUUGUCUUUCCAAGAGUGAGUUUCUUUGCUCUCCUAUCCACUGCUAUGAAUCGCAUUUCCUACGCUUCCAAGGACUGCACAGGUAAGCAAGUUUCUGUACAGAAACACCCAACAUGUCGCUUCAGCAUUGCUCCGUUGCCUUUUUAUUUUUGAUUUUUUGUUAAAUUUUACACCAUUUUACAACACAUACAUUGCUGCUACAUUGUGACAAGCUUUUGACUAGUAAGGAAGAAGCUUUUACAAUUGGCGUUUCUGAAAAGGCUCCAAUUUAUUUCUCAUAAAGAUCCUUGGGAUAAAAAGCAGAUUAACGUUCAGAAGCAAGUUAAAUGAAAAAAUGAGGCUGCUCAGAGGGAGAUGUUAAAGGCUGACUGGCACAAAAGGGUACUUUCUGGCAAACUUCUCGAAGCACUAAAAGAAGAGGGUCAAGAGUCAUCAGCUUAAGUAAUGAUCUCCAAGGCAAAAAUAUUGGCUGGCCAAUCCCAUAACUACAAUGGACUAUUAUAUGUAUGUUCUAUAGGCUGAAUGCAUCAAUUAUAUUCAUCAUGGGGCUUCUUGAACAUGCUUAAAUUGCUAUUUCCUUUUAUUCAAUGUGAUAGCAUAUAAAUUAAUGCAAAGGCAUACAUGAGAGUAUUUUAUACCUUCCCUCCUCUGUUUUAAAUGUUGGGGAUCAGUGGUUUCACUAUGAAUAAUUUAGAGGGAAAAACUUUCAGAACUGAGGGGGGUGGUA